rnacentral:rRNA from 1 species
UUUAACGGCCGCGGUAUUUUGACCGUGCAAAGGUAGCGCAAUCACUUGUCUUUUAAAUAAAGACCUGUAUGAAUGGCAUAACGAGGGCUUAACUGUCUCCUUUUUCUUAUCAAUGAAAUUGAUCUCCCCGUGCAGAAGCGGGGAUAAUAACAUAAGACGAGAAGACCCUAUGGAGCUUAAGACGCAAGAACAGUGUAUGUCCCUUUAUUUUUUUCAAAUAAUAAAACUUAUUACAACCUUUUCUAGUGUUUUUGGUUGGGGCGACCGCGGAGUACAGAAACCCUCCAUGAGGAAUGAAGACACUUCCUCUCAUCUAAGGGUGACAACCCUAAGAAAAAGAACUUCUUACCAUACUGAUCCGGCAAAGCCGAUCAACGAACAGAGUUACCCUAGGGAUAACAGCGCAAUCCUCUUUUAGAGCCCAUAUCGACAAGAGGGUUUACGACCUCGAUGUUGGAUCAGGACAUCCUAUUGGUGCAGCCGCUAAUAAGGGUUCGUUUG